rnacentral:tRNA from 1 species
GUCUCUGUAGUAUAGUGGCCUAGUAUCCAUGGUGGUCAGCCGUGGUACCCGGGUUCGAAUCCCGGCGGAGGCG